UUCUACUUUGAUCAUUAUUAACUCAUACCUGUUUGGAUCAUUUGAACUGUUGUUAUUAUUAUGAAACAGGUUCCCCCUGUGUUCAGAGUUUCUCUUUUUUCUAAACAAUCCCCAUAUUCGGUGCUUGCCUUGCUGUGCGAUACGCUGUAUAUAAGGCAACCCUUCCCUCCCAACUUUGGCUCAACCUCUGCUGGGAAUAGAUAUUGUCAAUUUUUUCCAUUCCUGCACAUCCUUCCAUUCUUGUCUUCCCCAUCUUGGAUUGAGGAUAAAAUUCCUUUUCGCCAAGGCUGUGCCUGAGAGAUGCUGCCGUCGAGUCUGAACGGCGGAGAAGCAGCCGCUCUUCACGCCGAAACCUUAAAAAAACCUUAGAGGGAGGCGGGGAAAGCCAGGCUCAGAGAUGGGCAUUGUCAAGUGGAUGGCUGGGGAUGAUGGGGUCAUGCUACUUGGCCUACUUUCAUUGCUGGACACUUAAACAGCCCCUACUCCCAGUAUUGUCCCUAUGUUGGGGAAAGAUCUAAAGAAGGUGAAGGCUACAGAAUAUAAGUUCAACUUCAAAACUCCACUAAGUAUUUAGAUAACUGUUCAAUAACAGCACUGAUCUGAAUGUGGCUAUAAGGAAGACCUUCUACUCCAAGAAAGCUGAGGCAUCCAGAAGAUGAUUGAAGGGUAAAAUCUUCCCAAAAAGAUCUUAUUUGGGUUUAAUUGAAAUUUUCAUUUUUACCCAAUAUUUCUCCUGCACCAAGAUGACAUGGGACAAAGGGAAAGCAAAUCAACAGCUUCUGAAACAGAAAAAUCUUCACCUGGUGGUAAAAAAUCUGUAUGUGAACUGAAAAGAAAAAUCUGUCAGGACAGCUAGUUCCCCACUUGGGUAAUUCUACAAUCAAAAUAUACAUUUAAUAAAUAAAUAAAAAUA